UGGGGAAUAUUGGACAAUGGGCGAAAGCCUGAUCCAGCCAUGCCGCGUGUGUGAAGAAGGUCUUCGGAUUGUAAAGCACUUUAAGUUGGGAGGAAGGGCAGUAAGCGAAUACCUUGCUGUUUUGACGUUACCGACAGAAUAAGCACCGGCUAACUCUGUGCCAGCAGCCGCGGUAAUACAGAGGGUGCAAGCGUUAAUCGGAAUUACUGGGCGUAAAGCGCGCGUAGGUGGUUCGUUAAGUUGAAUGUGAAAGCCCCGGGCUCAACCUGGGAACUGCAUCCAAAACUGGCGAGCUAGAGUAGGGCAGAGGGUGGUGGAAUUUCCUGUGUAGCGGUGAAAUGCGUAGAUAUAGGAAGGACCACCAGUGGCGAAGGCGACCACCUGGGCUCAUACUGACACUGAGGUGCGAAAGAGUGGGGAGCAAACAGG
rnacentral:rRNA from 1 species